AGCGAACGCUGGCAGCAGGCCUAACACAUGCAAGUCGAACGAAGUCUUCGGACUUAGUGGCGGACGGGUGAGUAACACGUGGGAACGUGCCUUUAGGUUCGGAAUAACUCAGGGAAACUUGUGCUAAUACCGAAUGUGCCCUUCGGGGGAAAGAUUUAUCGCCUUUAGAGCGGCCCGCGUCUGAUUAGCUAGUUGGUGAGGUAAAGGCUCACCAAGGCGACGAUCAGUAGCUGGUCUGAGAGGAUGAUCAGCCACAUUGGGACUGAGACACGGCCCAAACUCCUACGGGAGGCAGCAGUGGGGAAUCUUGCGCAAUGGGCGAAAGCCUGAUGCAGCCAUGCCGCGUGAAUGAUGAAGGUCUUAGGAUUGUAAAAUUCUUUCACCGGGGACGAUAAUGACGGUACCCGGAGAAGAAGCCCCGGCUAACUUCGUGCCAGCCGCCGCAGUAACAC
rnacentral:rRNA from 1 species